UACGUAGGGUGCAAGCGUUGUCCGGAAUUAUUGGGCGUAAAGAGCUCGUAGGCGGUUUGUCGCGUCUGCUGUGAAAACCCGAGGCUCAACCUCGGGCCUGCAGUGGGUACGGGCAGACUAGAGUGCGGUAGGGGAGAUUGGAAUUCCUGGUGUAGCGGUGGAAUGCGCAGAUAUCAGGAGGGACACCAAUGGCGAAGGCAGAUCUCUGGGCCGUAACUGACGCUGAGGAGCGAAAGUGUGGGGAGCGAACAGG
rnacentral:rRNA from 1 species